ACGGUUUUGGGUGCAAGUCGAUUUCUUUUAUCAGUUAUUAAAUUGCCUGCCAAGGAAAAUACACGUUCAGACGCCGCACUACUUGCAGGUAUAGUUAAUAUUUUAAGUGCAAGUUUUGAUAUAAUAGGUAGGAGGUACUCGGACCGUCGUAAGCACACAUCUUGCCUGACACAUAACCCGCCGACAUUUCUUGAAUAUAUGUAUUUUACUAUGUUUUAAUGCGAUUUAUUGUGCUAUUUUAAAAGAAAACUAAAUAAAAGGAUAAGAAACAAAGAAGUUUCAGUUUUGUAGUUUUUACGAAGUCACUAGAAUCACGGGUUUCGUUCCUUUUAAAACCCCUCCGCGUAGGUAUAAACUUCAGGGACUCAUCUACCUAAGCUCUCCACUUUCUAAAAUGUAAGAUAAAGCUUUUCAUUUAUGCUUAAGAAAUAAUUGAAUAAAAUGAUAAGAAACAAAGAAGUUUCAGUUUUGUAGUUUUUACGAAGUCACUAGACUCACUCGUUAUUUUUUAAACCCCUCCGCGUAGGUAUAAACUUCAAGGACUCAUCUACCUAAGCUCUCCAAUUUCUAGAAUGUAAGAUAAAGCUUAAGAAAAUAAUUGACUAAAAGGAUAAUAAACAAAGAAGUUUCAGUUUUGUAGUCACUACAAUCGCACGUUUCGUUCCUUUUAAAACCCCUUCGCGUAGGUAUAAAAUAUAUUUUGAAUAUGCAAGGAAUUUGUGAAUGUAUUCAUGAAUAAACAACCCAAUAAACAAUUGCGUAAAUGUUUCGUAAAUCUGCGCUAAAAUAAACUUAUCUACAAACAUUUGAGUAAACUUACUUACAAAUGUGAGAAAUAAGUUUAUUUAUAAGUUUACUUAUCUUAUAUUUGUAAGUUUAAAAUAAAUGCGUUGAAAAAACGUUUACUUACAAACAUAAAUGUAAACUUAUGAUGCAACAUUGCAAAUCAGUUUACAUGUAAACACAAAAAGUAAACCAACAGUUUACCAUUUCCCGUUAGUUUUUUCGCCGACUCUCUGACGAUUGUUUUUCCUUUUUUGAGUGAUCGCAGUUAAUAAUUAUUGAAUUUGAGAGAUGUAAAGACGUGCGUUUUAAAUAAAACAGUGGAAAAGUUAAUAACUAAAAAUAAUUAAUUGAAAAAUUACUUACAUAUAAGUAUUAUUUAGAAGUGUUAUAAAUAAAAUAAAAUAAAAAAGGCCUUUACAAUAUAAAAGGUCGAAAAAGCAGGAACAAUUAAUAGCUAUACACUGGAUCCCACAUUUUUAGAAGCAAUUCAAAGCACCAUUGAUGCAGCUGUAUCCAAAUCUAUGGGAAGAAUCGUCGAGGAGGUAAGAAGCUUGCAGCGAGAUAUCGCAGAGUUGAGGAAUGCAGAGACAAUGUUCCAUCAAAAAAGAUUAUGCCAGCGGAACUUUUAAACACAGUGGAGCAAUUUAUGGAAUUGGAGAGUUUACUCCAGAAGGAUGAAGAAUGUGCUAAAUUUGUAUGUAAAUAUUUAAAAGCCAAUUUCACAAUUUCUUUUUUUUGAAGAAAUCGGAACUUAUGCAAAAUAUUAAAUACACAGGAGCGAAAUUCGUCAGAACAGCUUGGCGCUCAUUGGUAUCCGAUGAAUGUGCUCAACAUUUUGCUUGGAGUGGAACGUCAGACAAAAAACCUGUCCGCGUCUUAAAAGUAUCUAUGGCUAUCCGAGGUACUUAAUAAUAAAACUUAAUAAACUUUAUAUUUACAUGUGUACUUAUAUACUUAUAUAUAUUUUUAAUUUAAAUUUCAGAUGUCUUCUUACAUGAAGUGAAGGGCAAUGACACUGAAUAUAUAAGUGGCACCAAGACGAUUUUUUAGUUUGCCAAAAAUAGACAAAAACGGAAGCACCAAAAUGCAGCAAAUUAAUUAUUUUACCCAACUAUUUUUCUAUCAUUUCAUUUUUAAAGAAUUUUUUUAAAUUUUAAUUUUUAGUAUAAG